rnacentral:rRNA from 1 species
UACGUAGGCAGCAAGCGUUGUUCGGAAUUACUGGGCGUAAAGAGUGUGUAGGCGGUGCUCUAAGUUCGGGGUGAAAUCUCCCGGCUUAACUGGGAGGGUGCAGCGGAAACUAGAGUGCUAGAGGGUGGGAGAGGUAAGCGGAAUUCCUGGUGUAGCGGUGAAAUGCGUAGAUAUCAGGAGGAACACCUGUGGUGUAGACAGCUUACUGGACCACUUCUGACGCUGAGACACGAAAGCGUGGGUAGCAAACAGG